UCAGUGGUGGCUCAGUGGUAGAAUUCUCGCCUUCCAUGCAGGAGACCUAGGUUUGAUUCCUAGCCGAUGCA
rnacentral:tRNA from 1 species